rnacentral:ncRNA from 2 species
AACGGAGUAGGCUAGGAGCGUUAAGUGCUGACGGAACGGAAUGUGAACGUCACCCGAAAACCGAUAUUGGUUGCGAUUUCUUUGCCGCAUUCGCCGCA